CCCGCACAAGCAGCGGAGCAUGUGGCUUAAUUCGACGCAACGCGAAGAACCUUACCAAGGCUUGACAUACACCGGAAACGGCCAGAGAUGGUCGCCCCCUUGUGGUCGGUGUACAGGUGGUGCAUGGCUGUCGUCAGCUCGUGUCGUGAGAUGUUGGGUUAAGUCCCGCAACGAGCGCAACCCUUGUUCUGUGUUGCCAGCAUGCCUUUCGGGGUGAUGGGGACUCACAGGAGACUGCCGGGGUCAACUCGGAGGAAGGUGGGGACGACGUCAAGUCAUCAUGCCCCUUAUGUCUUGGGCUGCACACGUGCUACAAUGGCCGGUACAAUGAGCUGCGAUGCCGUGAGGUGGAGCGAAUCUCAAAAAGCCGGUCUCAGUUCGGA
rnacentral:rRNA from 1 species